AACGAACGCUGGCGGCAGGCUUAACACAUGCAAGUCGAACGCCCCGCAAGGGGAGUGGCAGACGGGUGAGUAACGCGUGGGAAUGUGCCCUUUGGUUCGGAACAACUCCGGGAAACUGGAGCUAAUACCGAAUGUGUCCGAGAGGAGAAAGAUUUAUCGCCAAAGGAUCAGCCCGCGUUGGAUUAGCUAGUUGGUGGGGUAAAAGCCUACCAAGGCGACGAUCCAUAGCUGUUCUGAGAGGAAGAUCAGCCACACUGGGACUGAGACACGGCCCAGACUCCUACGGGAGGCAGCAGUGGGAAUCUUGGACAAUGGGCGCAAGCCUGAUCCAGCCAUGCCGCGUGAGUGAUGAAGGCCCU
rnacentral:rRNA from 1 species